AUUGAACGCUGGCGGCAUGCCUUACACAUGCAAGUCGAACGGUAACAGGUUAAGCUGGCGCGUGGCGAACGGGUGAGUAAUGUAUCGGAACGUGCUCAGUCGUGGGGGUUAACUGCUCGAAAGAGCAGGUAAUACCGCAUAUGACAUGAGGGAGAAUGCGGGGGGGCGCAAGUCCUCGCGCGAUUGGAGCGGUCGUUACCAGAUUAGGUAGUUGGUGAGGUAAAGGCUUACCAAGCCGACGAUCUGUAGCUGGUCUGAGAGGACGACCAGCCACACUGGGACUGAGACACGGCCCAGACUCCUACGGGAGGCAGCAGUGGGGAAUUUUGGACAAUGGGCGCAAGCCUGAUCCAGCCAUGCCGCGUGCGUGAAGAAGGCCUUCGGGUUGUAAACCGCUUUUGUCAGGGAAGAAAAGAUUCUGGCUAAUACCUGGAACUCAUGACGGUACCUGAAGAAUAAGCACCGGCUAACUACGUG
rnacentral:rRNA from 1 species